rnacentral:lncRNA from 1 species
AUGGCCAAGUCCAAGAACCACACCACACACAACCAGUCCCGCAAAUGGCACAGAAAUGGCAUCAAGAAACCCCGGUCGCAAAGAUACGAAUCUCUUAAGGGGGUUGACCCCAAGUUCCUGAGAAACAUGCGUUUUGCCAAGAAGCACAACAAGAAAGGCCUGAAGGAGAUGCAGGCCAACAAUGCAAAGGCAGUGAGUGCGCGC